rnacentral:rRNA from 1 species
CAUUAAUUAUUUACUUAACAUGUGCCUCAGUUGCAAGUGGAAUUUGCUUGUUGCGUCAGGGGGUGAGAGGAAAUGUUUUAAUUUGUCUAUCUGGAUAAAGAAACGUCUAAUAUUUAUAGUAAAUGGUGAAUGAAAUAUGUGUUGGAUUUGUGAGAGGUUAUAAGUACUGUGAAGGAAAGUGUGAGAUUAAUAUUUAUUUAGUGGAGGUUGUUUCUUGUACCUUUUGUAUCAUGGUUUUUCUAGGUUAUGUCUGAUAUGGGGCACUCCCGAAAAGGGCUGAGCUAUCUUUUAGCUGUAUAGGUUAACGUGGUAAAGUUAUCUUUAGAUUAAUAGAUAGGGGUGAUAUGCUUUUCGAAGCCUUUGAUUGCUGGUUGACUGGGAAAUGUAUUAAAGUACAGAGCUGAUGGUGUUUCGAUUUAAAUUAAUGUAGGCUGUAUUUGCAAUUUUACGUUAGUAUUUUGAAAACAAGGGUUGGCAUUGAGAUAAAAAAGGAUAAGCUUUUUUAUGAAGUUAAGAAAAUUAGAGUGUAGAUUGAGGAGUUUAAUGGGCUUAAGAUUGGCCAUUUAGGUGUCAAGUUUGUUAUAAAAUAAUUAAAGUAGAGUUCUUAAGAUUAUUUGAGGUUUGUUUUCUAAGAGGGAUUAAAGAAGAUCUGAGUUUAUAUACUGGUUAUAUCAGUUAAUUUAUUUUCGCUGAUUUUUUUCUGAGAAAAUGAGUAUUUAUAAUUGGAAAGUUAACGAAAUGACACUUAAGUUAAUAAAGUAGUUAAGGAAAUAAGGAAUGGGAUUGUAGAAUUUUCAAGUUUAAUAGGUAAUUAAUCAUAGAAUUGAUUGUAGAAAGUUAGUGUGUAUAAUUUAGGGGAAGGAAUUCGGCAAAUCACGGCCUCGCCUGUUUAUCAAAAACAUCGCUCCUUGUUUUAGUAUUAAGUAAAGAUAGGGAGUCGGACCUGCCCAGUGACUUAUGAGUUAAACGGCCGCGGUACUCUGACCGUGCAAAGGUAGCAUAAUCAUUUGCCUUUUAAUUGGAGGCUGGUAUGAAUGGUUUGACGAGGGCUGAGCUGUCUCCCCCUAAAUUUUUAAAAAUUAUCUUUUAGGUGAAGAGACCUAAAUUUAAUUGAGGGACAAGAAGACCCUGUUGAGCUUUAGUAAACUGGAGAUUUAUUAGUGAAGGUAUAAAAAAUACCUCUUGAUCCUACUCAAGUAGCGAUAAAAAUUUUCAGAAAUCUUUAGUUGGGGCGACUGAGGAACACAAAAAGCUUCCUUAUUCUUCUAAUAGUUUAGAUUUUUGUAGAUAUAUUUAAAAAGGAAAGAUCCGGUAGAUACCGAUCAAUAAAAAAAGUUACCACAGGGAUAACAGCGUAAUCUUUCUGGAGAGUUCUUAUCGAAAGAAGGGUUUGCGACCUCGAUGUUGGACUAAGAUAUCCUGGGGGUGUAGCAGCUCCUAAUGGUUGGUCUGUUCGACCAUUAAAAUCUUACAUGAUCUGAGUUCAGACCGGCGUGAGCCAGGUUGGUUUCUAUCUUCAAUUAAAAGUAACUUUAGUCUUCAUUUAGUACGAAAGGACCAAUGUUAAGAUAAAUAUUUUAUGUUUUGGAUUGCGUUUAAAAUCAUAGAAUCUGUAGAUUAAGUAAAUUUUGUCUUUUAAGAGUGUAUUUGAAUAUUAAGUUCAA